rnacentral:rRNA from 1 species
UCCAGACUCCUACGGGAGGCAGCAGUGGGGGAUAUUGCACAAUGGGGGAAACCCUGAUGCAGCAACGCCGCGUGAGUGAAGAAGGUCUUCGGAUUGUAAAGCUCUGUUCUUGGUGAAGAUAAUGACGGUAGCCAAGGAGAAAGCUCCGGCUAACUACGUGCCAGCAGCCGCGGUAAUACGUAGGGGGCAAGCGUUAUCCGGAUUCACUGGGUGUAAAGGGAGCGUAGACGGCGACGCAAGUCUGGAGUGAAAGCCCGGGGCCCAACCCCGGGACUGCUCUGGAAACUGCGGCGCUGGAGUACGGGAGGGGCAGGCGGAAUUCCUGGUGUAGCGGUGAAAUGCGUAGAUAUCAGGAGGAACACCGGCGGCGAAGGCGGCCUGCUGGACCGUGACUGGCGUUGAGGCUCGAGAGCGUGGGGAGCAAAUAGGAUUAGAUACCCGUGUAC